CACCACCGCAGCAAUGGCCCUCGCGCCGCCUCCUUCCCAUCACCAUCACCAUCACCAUGUCAAGCAGCUGCAGCUCCCUCCGUCUGUCUCCGUCUCCGUGCCCCUCCGCUCCGGUUUCCUUGGCCGCGCACUGCCUGCUGCUGCCCACCCACAGCCGCUGCUCGCCGCCGAGAGCCGCCGCAGCAGCGCCGUGUCCGUGCGGAUGUCGUGGGACGGGCCCCUCUCCUCGGUCCGCCUCAUUAUGCAGGGCCGCAACGUCAAGGUUCUCCUCUCCUACUGCUACCACUAGUUUGCUUCCCUGGAAUUUCCUUCGUUUCAUAUUAUAAGGUUUUCUAGCAUUACUCAUAUUCACAUAUAUAUAUAUAUGAUAAUAUUCUAGAUUCAUUAUCAUAUAUAUGAUUAUAGGUAAUGCUAGAAAAUCUUAUAACCUGAAACAGAGGGAGUAUAUAUAAUUCGGUAAUGGAACUAGAGUAUUUGUUUUAUUAAUUGGACCUUUAUGAAAUACUAGUAGAAUUCAACGAAACUACAUUCUUCUUUAUUGGUUAUAUUAGUAGUAAUUUGCUUCACUAGAAUUCUAUUUUAUACUAGAGAGAUUAAAAAUUAUUACAAAACUAACUGUAUACCCGUUGCAACGGAAUAGUAAUAUGGACCUAUUACUUAUUACUACCUCCAUAUUUUAAUGUAUGACGCCGUUCACUUUUUGUCCAACGUUUGACCAUUCGUCUUAUUAAAAAAAAUUAUGUAUCUAUUAUUUAUUUUAUUAUGACUUGAUUCGUCAUCAAAUAUUUUUUAAGCAUGACAUAAACAUUUUCAUAUUUGCAAAAAAAAAAAACGAAUGGUCAAAUGUUAGUCGAAAAGUCAAUGGUGUCAUACAUUAAAAUACGGAGGGAUUAUAUGGGAUAGCUACAGUAGCAGAGUCAUGAUAAAGUAGUAAUGUGUUGGGAGGAGCGGUAGAGCGUUGUGUGGAAAAAUAAAGAUGGGAAUGGAAUGGAAUGAAAAGCGUACGUGCGUGGCGUGGCGGUGCAGCUGAAUGAGAAGGUGAAGGAGCACAUCGAGGAGAAGGCGGGGAGAGCAGUGGCGAAGCACAGCCAGCUUGUGAAGGAGGUGGACGUGCGCCUCUCCGCCCGCGGUGGCGAGCUCAGCCGAGGUCCCAAGAUUUGCAGGUGCGAGAUCACUCUCUUCACCAAGCGCCACGGCGUCAUCCGCGCCGAGGAGGACGCCGAGUCCACCUACGCCAGCAUCGACCUCGCCUCCUCCAUCAUCAAGAGGAAGCUCAGGAAGAUCAAGGAGAAGGAGACCGACGUCCGCCACCUCAAGGGGACCAAGCCCCCCGUCUCCGACUGG
rnacentral:lncRNA from 1 species